rnacentral:rRNA from 1 species
CUUACCUUUGUCUCUCCACCACCCACCCCCGUCCGCUCGAGGAAGAGGACCCUCUUCUCCUCCCGUCCCGACCCGGAGCUCCUCCGCCGCCGCCGACGCCUGACGCGCGCCGCCGCUCCCCUUCCCGUCGCGUCCCUCCCUCCCUCCGCAAUCUCCUGAACCCCGGUUUUCGAGAUUUCAUCAUGCUUUCCUUGAGGUGUUGGGCGCCCGCAUUCGGUAUAGCGUUCGAGAGAGCCGUCGUUCUGCGCCCUCGAAAGUUCAACUCCUUAGUGGUUUGCGGUGCCAGGGGUCCGAGGCCGAGAUAUCCUCGCGUGUGGAAAACCGAUAAGAGAAUCGGAACCGUUUCCAAGUCGCAGAAGCUUGUCAAAUGUAUUAAGGGUUUGUCUAAUGUAAAGGAGGAGGUUUAUGGUGCUCUUGAUUCAUUCGUUGCAUGGGAACUGGAGUUUCCCUUGAUAGCAGUAAAGAAAGCACUGAAGACGCUUGAGGAUGAGAAGGAAUGGAAAAGAAUAAUUCAGGUUAUCAAGUGGAUGUUCAAUAAAGGUCAAGGGAAGACCAUGGGAAGCUAUCAAACUUUAUUAAACGCUUUAGUCGAGGAUGGACGAAUUGAGGAAGCAGAAGAGCUAUUUCAAAAGAUAUUCUCGAGAUAUAUGGAGGGAUUGCCACGUGUUUUUUUCAUGAAAAUAAUCUCCUUAUAUUACAGAUUGGGGUCAUAUGAGAAGAUGUUUGAGGUUUUUGCUGAUAUGGAAGAGCUGGGUGUUCGACCUGAUACCUCGAUUGUCAGGAUGCUCGGUGAUGUAUUUAUGAAGCUAGAGAUGCUGGACAAAUACGAAAAGUUAAAUAGGAAAUAUCCACCGCCAAAAUUUGAAUAUCGAUACAUCAAAGGCAAGCGCAUAAGGAUAAGGGUUUAUCCAGACGAUAGUACUGAAGAAGUAACAAAAAGAGACUCUGACAGAGAUGAACUGGAAGAUGCAGGAAGCAUGAAUCUUGACAAUGAAUUGAAAGAAGCGCCAAGAACAGUCCUGGACAUGAAUGUAUUAGGCAAUGCGGCUUCUGGAGACCAUAAAUUUGUAUAGCUCAGAACUUUAAUUUGGCGUUUUCAUGUCUGCUUCAUCAUAGCAGUUGUGCUGCAACUCUUUUCUAUAAUCUAGCAAUAUCAGGCCACUCUUGCCAUAUUUGGAAACAACAGUUGUCCAGCAAUUUGACUGAAGAUGUCCAGCUGUUCAGUAAAUGAUAUGGAUACAGUUGUUGAUGUCUUUGUUGUGUCGUAUUCAUCAAGAGUUGUGCAUUGGUGCGGGAGAGAAGCAGCUCAUUCUGGAUACAUUGCAAGUUUUCACCAUGUCCUGAGACGGAUGGACUUACAAUCCUGACUACGAUCACACGAGAUGCUUUGGAGUGGAUGAGGAUCAAGAGGUAGCGGAAUUCAAAGGCACACACCGGAGCAGGUGGUCAUAUGGGUGCAAAAGUCAUGGAUGUCAAUUAUUGAGUUGUAAAAAUUUAUAUUGAUGAGAAGAGGUGAUAUGACCAGACCUGUGCCAAUGCAUGGGGAAUUUCUCCGUACAGUGCCCUUUUAUAGCGGCGCCUUUCAUUCCGGGUUUGCAGCGACAAUCAUAGCCUCCCACCCUAUUGCUGCAGAUCCCGUCAUCAUAGCAAGGAUACAAGAGUCUGAGCUCAUGACUCUGUUUUCGCAACUUGCACUCGUCGACGUCUGGAGAGAAAAAAAACGAGAAUUAGUCGGGGAGUUAAAAUGAAGGGCAUGUUUGUAGGCCAAAAAAAAAGGAUGAUGUUAAAAAUCUGACAUCAAUUUUUAACAAUGACAAAUCGAGCGUUUUUUUAUGGAAAAUUUAGUUGUCGCGAGGAUGACAAUAUGAUUUGCCAUGCUUGCUAAAGGGAAUUAUUG